rnacentral:snRNA from 1 species
AUACUUACCUGGCAGGGAGAUGCCAUGAUCAGAAAGGUAGUUUUCCCAGGGUGUGGCUCACCCAUUGCACUUGGGGUGUGCUGACCCCUGUGAAUUCCCUAAAUUCGGGAAACUCAACUGUAUACUUUGUGGUAGUGGGGGACUGUGU